rnacentral:rRNA from 1 species
GUGCCAGCAGCCGCGGUAAUACAGAGGGUGCGAGCGUUAAUCGGAUUUACUGGGCGUAAAGCGUGCGUAGGCGGCUUUUUAAGUCGGAUGUGAAAUCCCUGAGCUUAACUUAGGAAUUGCAUUCGAUACUGGGAAGCUAGAGUAUGGGAGAGGAUGGUAGAAUUCCAGGUGUAGCGGUGAAAUGCGUAGAGAUCUGGAGGAAUACCGAUGGCGAAGGCAGCCAUCUGGCCUAAUACUGACGCUGAGGUACGAAAGCAUGGGGAGCAAACAGGAUUAGAUACCCUGGUAGUCCAUGCCGUAAACGAUGUCUACUAGCCGUUGGGGCCUUUGAGGCUUUAGUGGCGCAGCUAACGCGAUAAGUAGACCGCCUGGGGAGUACGGUCGCAAGACUAAAACUCAAAUGAAUUGACGGGGGCCCGCACAAGCGGUGGAGCAUGUGGUUUAAUUCGAUGCAACGCGAAGAACCUUACCUGGUCUUGACAUAGUAAGAACUUUCCAGAGAUGGAUUGGUGCCUUCGGGAACUUACAUACAGGUGCUGCAUGGCUGUCGUCAGCUCGUGUCGUGAGAUGUUGGGUUAAGUCCCGCAACGAGCGCAACCCU